UACGGAGGAUCCGAGCGUUAUCCGGAUUUAUUGGGCGUAAAGCGAGCGCAGGCGGUCUUUUAAGUCUGAUGUGAAAGCCCCCGGCUUAACCGGGGAGGGUCAUUGGAAACUGGGAGACUUGAGUGCAGAAGAGGAAAGCGGAAUUCCAUGUGUAGCGGUGAAAUGCGUAGAUAUAUGGAGGAACACCAGUGGCGAAGGCGGCUUUCUGGUCUGUAACUGACGCUGAGGCUCGAAAGCGUGGGGAGCAAACAGGAUUAGAUACCCUGGUAGUCCACGCCGUAAACGAUGAGUGCUAAGUGUUGGAGGGUUUCCGCCCUUCAGUGCUGCAGCAAACGCAUUAAGCACUCCGCCUGGGGAGUACGACCGCAAGGUUGAA
rnacentral:rRNA from 1 species